AACUCUAAUCAAUUCCUUUUUUUCCUUUCCCUCAAAUUUGCUCCUUUUCGUAACCGAGCCUCCUUCACUCGAACACAAGGUUGCGCGGCGAGGGCGCCGAGCGACCUCACACUACAGUAAAGACGCUCACGGCGGCAAGGACGCUCACGGCCACUUCAAAGCCUCCAGUGCUCAACAUCUCCGCCUUCUCCAAGAUCGAAAGCAAUCAAAUCAAGAUGUUUUUUCCCCAAAUCGCAUUACAGAAUCUAGGUUUUUAAAUCCUAAUCUUUUUUUUUCACUGAUUCACAAUGGUUGUAGUACUUGAGAUGAGGUCAAGAUCUAGGGUUUUGUUCUUAUUGCAUAGGGUUUCUUUUCAACCCUCAAAGAUGAGGCUAUCUUCUUCAAAUCUGUCACCACAAUACCACAAGAAGGAACUCUAUUCUAACAGCCUCACGUGAGGUUUAUUUGUUUAUUCAAGAGAAGAUUUGAUAGCUAUCUUCCGCAUCUCUUGUGUUGUGAAUGUUAGAAAUGGAGCAACCCAGUAACUAGCAUGACAUCAUCACUUUUUGAUUUGUUGAUUGAUAUUGCCUUUUGACUCUCAAGUUUAUAUUAUUAAUUAUAGUCUCGCAAAGAAGUACAGGCAUUUCCAAACUCAUAAGCACAUACCGUAUAGGGAGAAUAAGAAUCUUACAGGAACUGCAAACUAUGCCAGUGUUAAUACACAUAUAGGGAUUGAGCAAAACCAAAGAUGAUUUGAAAUCUCUUGGUUACGUUCUUAUGUAUUUUUAAGAGGAAGCCUUCUUUGGAAAGGGCUUAAAGCUAUCAGUAAAAAGCAAAAGUAUGACAAAAUUAGUGAGAAGAAAGUGCUUGCCCCUUGGAGGUAAUUCAAAAUCCUUCUUUUACAUACUUGAGAAAAAUUUAGUCAACCACUUUUAUUUUUAUUUCAAUUUGCAUAUUGAUUGUGAGAGAGUUUAGAUUUUUGAUGAUGUAAACCAGGCACUUUGUAAGUCAUUUCCUUCAGAAUUUACAUCUUAUUUCCACUACUAUUAAUCCUUGUGUUUUGAGGACAAGCCGGAUUAUUCAUACUUGAGGAGGCUAUUCCGUGAGCUAUUUAUUCGAGAAGGUACGGGAUAGUUGAAGCGAAAUAGACUUGGAGCUUUUGAGAAUGUCAACAUUUUGCAUAUGAAUACUUUAGAGAAAUGAAUACUUAGCUUUUGAUGUAAAUGGAUGUUAAUUUUACUAGAUGAUUACUAGACAUUUGAUAUCUAGUUUAAUGAUGUGUAGAAACAAUUAUCAUAAAUUACUGGAUGAUAUUUUAAUAUAUAUGGUGGUUUAAU